rnacentral:tRNA from 2 species
GGGGGUGUACCAGAGUGGCCAAAUGGGGCAGACUGUAAAUCUGCUGACGUACGUCUUCGGUGGUUCGAAUCCAUCCGCCCCCACCU